AACACUACAUUAGGUGGACCCUCAAACAGCUCAUUUCCCCCAGACAUAGUCCCUCUUCACCUUUCCCUCUCCCAAUUCUCUUCUCCAAACCACAGAGGGCAAGUCUUAUCUUAUUUUCUUCUUCUUUUUCUCUAGGCAUCUCACUCUCUCUGCCUAUCUAUCUCUUUAUAUGCUUGACAAGGCUGGUGGCAUUGCAUUGGCUCUUCUGAGCAUUUAUUAAAGUGCUUCUCAUAGCUCACUCCUCUCCAUGUUCACCUGCUUGACCCUGAAGCAUUGUUGUUUGUGUAUUCCUGUGUCUGUGUGUGUGUGCACGCACGCAGUUCAGGCAUGUGUGCAACCAUGCCCUGGAGAACUGCCACUAACGGUUCCAAUAAUGGCCCAAAAAAACAGGAGAAAUACCCUUAAUAACCCUCUCAUCUCCUGAGCUCUCCUAUUUCCUCUCUCUCUCUCACUCUCUCAACCAGGUGAUUUACACACGUCACCCAUUUGUCAAGGAGAAAGAGAGAUUUGAGCUAUCGCCAUGGUAACUCAAUGGUCUGACUGACAGCCUGUCAACUGGGCGUCAACCAACGGCCAAAGUGAAGCCUGUAAUCAUUUCCCUAGCGAUUGAUAGGAUGGCACAGUGUUAAACUCGUAGGAGAGAUAAGAUAAGUGAAAGUGAAGUGACUGGCAAUACACAGAUUUUUUUAAAUGUAAGCAACACCUGCAAAUGGAAGAAGUUGCAUGAGUUUUCUGCCUUGAUGCAUUUUUGUAAAGCUGCAGCAGGUAUUCAAACUAAGGUUGAAUUUCAAUAUAAACUGUAAUCAUGUUGUAAUAAAUUAAAGAAAUCUCAUCAGACAUCAUGUCCCUCCUCUCUACCUGCUGUUGCACCUCCUUCACCCCAUUACUUUUUCAUCCCGCUGUUCCUCUGUGUGUGAGUCGGAAGUGGCAGUAAAUGGCUUUUAAAAAAAAAAUGAAAAGCCAAAAUCACGACAAUAGAGCUCGAGCUUGUGAGAGAGAAGAGAAAGGAGAGGGAGAGAGACUGAGGU